rnacentral:rRNA from 1 species
UACGUAGGGUGCAAGCGUUGUCCGGAAUUAUUGGGCGUAAAGAGCUCGUAGGCGGUCUGUCGCGUCGGAUGUGAAAACCCAGGGCUCAACCCUGGGCCUGCAUUCGAUACGGGCAGACUAGAGUUCGGUAGGGGAGACGUGGAAUUCCUGGUGUAGCGGUGAAAUGCGCAGAUAUCAGGAGGAACACCGGUGGCGAAGGCGGGCUCCUGGGCCGAACUGAC